rnacentral:sRNA from 1 species
UUGCUGAUUCUGGGUAUACCGCCGAACGAGGAGCCAGACCUAACGCUAAAAAAGUUGCUGUCUUGGUAGUAAGCGGUGUCAAGUCUGCAGAGUUGGUGUCAAAACAAGUGAAAAAUUUGCUGGGCCAGGGCAUCAAGGUGUUCAUUGCGGACCCAACAGACUCUGGUGUUAAGAUUGAAGGAGCUACCACACUUAAAGGCCAGUCAUUGGCUCAGGCUGAAGAACUCAUCUACUAUCUGUGUAACCCGUGUCAGCCCACUACAUCGAAGUAGAAGUCA